rnacentral:rRNA from 1 species
CCUACGGGAGGCAGCAGUGGGGAAUAUUGCACAAUGGGGGAAACCCUGAUGCAGCGACGCCGCGUGAAGGAAGAAGUAUCUCGGUAUGUAAACUUCUAUCAGCAGGGAAGAAAAUGACGGUACCUGACUAAGAAGCCCCGUCUAACUACGUGCCAGCAGCCGCGGUAAUACGUAGGGGGCAAGCGUUAUCCGGAUUUACUGGGUGUAAAGGGAGCGUAGACGGAAGAGCAAGUCUGAUGUGAAAGGCUGGGGCUUAACCCCAGGACUGCAUUGGAAACUGUUUUUCUAGAGUGCAGGAGAGGUAAGCGGAAUUCCUAGUGUAGCGGUGAAAUGCGUAGAUAUUAGGAGGAACACCAGUGGCGAAGGCGGCUUACUGGACGGUAACUGACGUUGAGGCUCGAAAGCGUGGGGAGCAAACAGGAUUAGAUACCCGUGUAGUC